CCUACGGGAGGCUGCAGUGGGGAAUAUUGCACAAUGGGGGAAACCCUGAUGCAGCGACGCCGCGUGAGUGAAGAAGUAUUUCGGUAUGUAAAGCUCUAUCAGCAGGGAAGAAAAUGACGGUACCUGAUUAAGAAGCCCCGGCUAACGACGUGCCAGAAGCCUCGGUAAUACGUAGGGGGCGCGCGUGAUCCGGAUGUACUGGGAGUAAAGGGGGCGGAGACGGCAGCACAAGUCUGGAGUGAAAGGCCUGGGCUUAACCCCGGAACUGCUUUGGAAACUGUGCCGCUAGAGUGCAGGAGAGGGAAGUGGAAGUCCUGGUGGAGCGGUGAAAUGCGUAGAUAUUAGGAGGAACACCAGUGGCGAAGGCGGCUUACUGGACUGUAACUGACGUUGAGGCUCGAAAGCGUGGGGAGCAAACAGGAUUAGAUACCCCGGUAGUC
rnacentral:rRNA from 1 species